UGAAGGUCAGUGUGGGGAACAGCCCUGGUUUUCAGCCCUGUGAUGUGAGUGACAGAACAAGACUCAUUGUCCCUGCCUCUCCAGAACGUGAGCAGUUUUUACACUGUGAAAUUGGAUGUAACUUCUGUUCUUCUCUUGUGCAUUUGGAGACAUCUUGGUAUGUGCUAGUAUAUCUGCAUCAAGCAAGAAAAAUGGGAGCACUGGGGAUAUUUUCGGCCUUCAUGUUUGAAUAAGAAGUCAGAUGAAUUGCCAGGCAUAUGUAUGUGGAUUAUGGAUACAGAAGAAAAUUCCCAUUGUAUAAAGAAGAAUAUAUGCUGAGCACUGAAGCAGAGAAAAUGAAAGGUGUUUCUACCAAAUGAAAUAAAUAAAGUAACCAUACACCUCUAAGAAACUUGUAGGUGUUUGAGACCUUGUGAUAAAGCUACCACGUUAAGGCAGAAUCAUUGAAUCCUUAGAGUUGGAAGGGAUCUCUGAAGGCCAUAUAGUCCAAUUCCCCUGCAAUGACCAGGGAUACCACAGCCACAUCAGAUUGCCCAGGGCCUGAUCCAGCCUCGCCUGGAAAGUCUCCAGGGAUGGGGUAUCAAUGACAACACUAGAUGCUAUAAAACGUCAGUGUUACAGAAACAAAAGUUUGAAAUCUGUAACAUCCCACACAUGAAAGGAGGAAAAGUGACAAGAUUUGCAAAUCCCCCAUGAGGUUAAGGUGAAAUGACACUCAAGUGCCAGUCUGAGAAACAUUUCAUCCACUUCUGACUUAGUGUCAUCUCAAACCAGUGUUGGCUUCUGUGACCAGGUGGAGCAGUUAAGCAAAGAUCUGUAUCUCCUUGGGAACUGGAAGAAGUGUACAGUAAAUGAGGAAAGACAGAGUCAUGAGCUGGAUAAGAAAGGGAAGCUUUCUGGCCUGAAGACAGGACGUCUUAAAGCUUCAUCUGACAAUCAGAAAAUAGCCAACAGAUGGAGAUAACUAAAGGUGUGUUAAAGAGGCAAGGGAUGGACAUCAACAUGACCAUCCCCAAAUAAAUGAGUGGAUCAUUACAAAUUCCCAGCACUUCUGUACACCUUCACUUGGAAAGAACAGAAGGAUUGAGAACUACUACUGCCCUAAAGUUCAGGAUGGGGAAGUCUCAGUGUUGAAGCACAGUCAGAUUAUCCAUGCCUAAAAAUGGAACUUUAAAAGCCAAACAUUUUAAAGGAACUAUCAAGAUGAAAAGGUUUUCUUUUUUUUUUUUUUUUUUUUUUUUAAUGCUGUUUUAAAACAGCAAUUUCACGCUUUUGAUAGGCUGCUGAAUGCCCAAAGAUAUAAAAUCCUCCACUCCACAACAUAAAUGUAGUGCCAAUUAUGUCUGGAAAAAAAAAAAUAAAAGACACUGAAGUUGCAAAAAAAUAUAACAAUAAAUAAAUAAAACAAUCCUCUUCUGUAUUUGGAUGAAGCGUUUCUCUUUGAACUUUAUCAUGAAAAAAACAAAACCACCACCUACAGGAAGAUAUCUCUCCAAAGUCUUCUUGGGUUGACAGCUCUGGCUUCAAUGCCUGCUCUGUUUCAUUGGUGCGCACACCUGUGCUGUGG
ensembl:lncRNA